UACGUAGGGUGCAAGCGUUGUCCGGAAUUAUUGGGCGUAAAGAGCUCGUAGGCGGUUUGUCGCGUCGGCUGUGAAAACUCGGGGCUCAACCCCGAGCCUGCAGUCGAUACGGGCAAACUAGAGUGUGGUAGGGGAGACUGGAAUUCCUGGUGUAGCGGUGAAAUGCGCAGAUAUCAGGAGGAACACCGGCGGCGAAGGCGGGUCUCUGGGCCAUAACUGACGCUGAGGAGCGAAAGCGUGGGGAGCAAACAGG
rnacentral:rRNA from 1 species